rnacentral:rRNA from 1 species
CUGUCGUGGAGAAGGGUUUCAUGUGAACAGCAGUAAGACACAUUUCAAUCCAGCUCUCAGCUUUGAAGAAA